rnacentral:rRNA from 1 species
CCUACGGGUGGCAGCAGUGAGGAAUAUUGGUCAAUGGCCGAAAGUCUGAACCAGCCAAGCCGCGUGAGGGAUGACGGCGCUAUGCGUUGUAGACUUCUUUUGUAGGGGGAUAAAACGUUGCACUUGUGGGGUUUUGUAUGUACCCUGUGAAUAAGGAUCGGCUAACUCCGUGCCAGCAGCCGCGGUAAUACGGAGGAUCCGAGCGUUAUCCGGAUUUAUUGGGUUUAAAGGGAGCGUAGGUGGAUUGUUAAGUCGGUGGUGAAAGUUUGGGGCUCAACCGUAACAUUGCAGUUGAAACUGGCAGCCUUGAGUACAGUAGAGGCAGGCGGAAUGCGCGGUGUAGCGGUGAAAUGCUUAGAUAUCACGAAGAACCCCGAUUGCGAAGGCAGCUCACCGGACCGCAACUGACACUGAGGCUCGAAAGCGCGGGGAUCAAACAGGAUUAGAUACCCGGGUAGUC